UGUGUAUUUGGCGUAUGGUGCUGUCAGAGGUGAAAAAGUUGAAAGACGUGUGUGAGGCAAGGGCCGUUGUUGGUUUUUGGUUUUUUUAUGAAGAAUGUGGGCACCUCUUUCUGUCGCUUUCUGUGACAUCUUGCUUGAGUUCGGUUUUUCUCCAUUCUUUCAGUCGUCGCCACGAGAACGCGACCGUAAAGAGUAUUCACAAAAGGUAGAAGGGGUCGUUCUUGCGUCUUUGCCGUUCGGAAAGGGUGGCGAUUUUUUCCAGUAAUUGCAAGAACAUUACUGUUCAUAGAUCGUCGACUGAAGUGGGUAAACCGUCGCACUCCAUUCCCUUUGCACGGAGUAAAGAGGUCGCCGAAAGGAGGAGACCCUUUGAGGAAGAAUCUGAAAACAAACAGUGUCUCCAGACACCGUUCUUUCUUAGACACUGCCUCGCGACGCUCUGAGUGCUCCCUGUAGUUUCUCCAUUUAGUAUUCCACGCAUUUUCCGGUCACUGCAUGCAGCACCGGGGUCCUGACGCUGCAGAUGCACCGUGGAGCCUUCCCAGUCUUGUCUUCCUUGGUUGGCACUGUUUCCCCCGUUCGAGCGCUCUUCUGUUCACUCAGCUUUCCGGUGCGCCCCGCUCUUGCGAGAGUGUAUCAGUCUGAGGAUAGACCUCUUCCUCACCCUGUGAAGUGCAUCGUUGCAGUUUUUUCUCACAGUAGAAUGCCGCACCAGCGAGAGUUUUGCGAAGCGAGUCACGCGCAUGUCGACUUUGCCAGUGAGUUUCUGAAACUCUGAAUGAAGAGCGCAUCGAUCAAGACUCCUUCUUUACCGGAAACCUUAUCCCUAGCCUCUCUCUGACGAAGGGUGACGCUGCUAUGGACUCUCUUUCACUGCAUGCCUCUGUCUCGGGGGGCGCAGGACAGAACAUCGGACUUUUCGACGAAUGUCUCUCGACUUCCACGUUGACGGUUUUGGCGUAGUCUUCUUCUGGAACUCCACCCUUUGACCGACCGCCUUUCUCACAAAAGUCCUCUCCACUUCUUGCCAUGAUUAUCGGGUGCGUCUCGAAGGGAGGUAGCGUCUAACAAGUUUGAUCCUUACUCGGCGCCUUCUGAGGGGUGUGCCGUGGACGUCUGAAAUUUCUUCCAUUUGCCCUCAACGGAUGCUAGCAAUCCUGCAGGUUCCGAUCUCGCGUUUCGCGUGCCUGAUCCUUCACUCUGUUUGUCGUCGAGAGCGCAUCUUUGAGCCUUGCGCAUGCGCUGUCCGUUUCCAUCAGUUCCCCUCGUUCACAAGGACGACUACACUCGCAUGCGACAUGGAUAGUAAGAGUGGCGUCUCCUUCACACAACAUCAGCAUUCAGAUGAAGGUUAGAGUGAUGCCGCGCAUUGUUCUCUGCAUCACAAGGAACAGCAGACGAUGCAUUUCUUUCGUUGCUCUCCGGGGUCCACUCGGUGGAGUUCCAGAGCACUCGUCCACUUGCGCGACUUCUCCUUUUAAACGAUCAGCAGAGCGCAC
rnacentral:lncRNA from 1 species